AUUGAACGCUGGCGGCAUGCUUUACACAUGCAAGUCGAACGGUAACAGGCCUUCGGGUGCUGACGAGUGGCGCACGGGUGAGUAAUGCAUCGGAACGUACCCAGAGGUGGGGGAUAACGCAGCGAAAGCUGUGCUAAUACCGCAUGUGAUCUGAGGAUGAAAGCGGGGGACCGAGCAGCAAUGUUUGGCCUCGCGCCUUUGGAGCGGCCGAUGUCGGAUUAGCUAGUUGGUGGGGUAAAGGCCUACCAAGGCGACGAUCCGUAGCUGGUCUGAGAGGACGACCAGCGACACUGGGAAUGAGACACGGCCCAGACUCCUACGGGAGGCAGCAGUGGGGAAUUUUGGACAUUGGGCGCAAGCCUGAUCAAGCAAUGCCGCGUGCGGGAAGAAGGCCUUCGGGUUGUAAACCGCUUUUGGCAGGAACGAAACGGUGUCCGCUAAUACCGGGCGCUAAUGACGGUACCUGCAGAAUAAGCACCGGCUAACUACGUG
rnacentral:rRNA from 1 species